AUUAAACACCAAGAGCAAUAAUGGGAAGCCGUGUCUGGUGGUAAUGAAAUUAAGUGUCUUUAUGAGGUCACUUUAUUCUUUUUCUCUCCGGCUCUCUUGCCCUCCGAGUACAUGGUGACUGCCGUUCCUAAUUGCUGUUUCAAUAAAAUGCACAAUGCUGUCCAUUUUGUGUUUUAAUUCAAUGUAUUUCUAGGGCCUUCGGGAUCAUUAAACCCUCCAUCAAGAGAGUGCAGUAGAAGUGGCGGUUAUGAAAGCUUUUGGAAGUGGCCCAGGACAGCAGAUUGAGGACAGCAGAAAAGGUGGAGAAGGAAUAAAAAAAGACCUGUUGGACUUAGUACUGAACCCCAAAUGAUGAGAACCAGUGCUCAAGCUUGAGCCCAUGGGGGUCCUUGGUACAAGCUCUGAAGUCAGGACCGGGCCCCUCCUGGAGGGACUGGUGUCCAUCGUUAUACAUGGACAAGAACCAUACUUUUUAGUUUGGGAGCACAUUCACAUGCAUAAUUUCCUUUGAACAUUGUGACAAUCUCAUAUGAUAAAUUGUUACUCCCACUUUUCAGAUGAGGAAACAGAGGCUCUUAGAGUUUAAGUGACGUGACUCCCACUGCUUGUUAGAAGCCAAAUCUGGGAUUCUUCCCUUUAUGCCAGGAUGCCUCAUGGCUGUUGAGCCAAACUUGCCCUACUAAGGUCAUGGUAACAUUACUUAAUUUAAUAAUGCAAGAAAUAUUUAUUGAGCAUCUACUAUAUGCUGGGACUAUGAUGAUGAGCAGAACAGACUCCUUCCCCAUCCUCAUAGAACCUAGAUGUGGCUGAGAAGAGUUAAAUAAGCAACAACACGCAGUGAGUUGGGUGACAGAUUAGAGAAAGCAUCCUGUUGGGGAAGCUGCCGGCAGGAGCUCCCAAUCUAAUCUACGGGACAAGCAACCGUCCUGGAGAAAGUGAGGUUGCAGCUGAGGCCUGAGUGCGGAAGUUAAAAAGAGGAAGGAGGAGGAAGAGUGUUGGAAGGUGCGGCUGAAACGUAAGAGGGAGUGGUGGCUGCACGACUUUAUUUAGGAGGGAGCAUCAAUUGAUAGGACUAAGGAACUGAGUUCAUGCAGGGCCUGAAGGGGAAAGAGGAAUGAGGGAUGACUCCUCAGUUCCUGGCUCGGCCGCCUGGUGGUGGUGGUGGGGGUGAUGGUGCCAUUUACUGAGCCAGGGAGCACUGUGGGGGGAGCCCAAGGGUAGAGGUGGGGUGGGAUAAGAUGGUAAUUAUUGGGCAUGUCCCACUCUUAUAAAAAUGAGCCCAAAAAGGCUGUACAGCAGGUCACAUCCAGUGGUAUCUCAAGGCUAAGAAGUGAAUUAAAGCCCUAGUAUAGACAUGGUGUUGACUCUUUCGUAGGCUGCCCGUAAAGCCUGUGUACGCUGUUUGUUUCCACUCUGUUGAGGAACUGAAAGGACAGAAUGAAACCUCAAGGCGAUCACCACCAGCUGGAAUGAUAAGGCCAAAAGUGAUGGAAUUUAAUAGGGGCAAAUGUAAACAACACCAAAACACGAAGCCAAAAUCAGUUGUUGACUUAGCAGCUCACGUCAACAGAACCUAACAGGGUCAGCUGGCUGUGAAUUCUGUAUAAGCCAACAGUGUCAUACGGCUGCCGCUUCUGCCACUUCAAUGCCACCCGGAUGUUGAAGUAUCGUGGAGGAACCCGUGAAGGUGGUUAUCUGACCAGAACAGAGAAGAACCUGUAAGAAACAUGCAGCAGCCCAGCAGGUGCCAUUCAGAGGAUGAUGGGGGCCUCUGAGGACAGGGGGAUCAAGGAGGACGUCAUGGGAGAGCUGCGGGCCAGGGAAGAUGUCACUGGCAUGGCAUGAGUUGUGGAAAAUAAGAAAAUCAGCUGACCAAGGUCUUGGGAAAUAAGAUGGGACAGUGCAGCCUUUGGUGACACAGACGACUUCAAACAUGUCUGAUCACUGAGCUAACUGUCGAAGUGUGAUAUUUAAAGUAACUUCUUAUGAUUGCUAACAGAUUGCAUGGCGACAUGGGUCAUGCACAGUGUGACCAAAUUUAUCUUGAGCUCGUAAAGAAAAGAAAGAUCUGAUGAAAACCGUAUACCUGGUUUUAUUUACAUUAAUGAAGCUAUGUGACAUAAAGGCCACAAUGAUUUCUCUCCUUUUCUUUUGUGGAAAAAUUCUUUUUUGUUUUUUUGAGGAAGAUCAGCACUGAGCUAACUGCUGCCAAUCCUCCCCUCCCCGCCAAGGAAGACCAGCCCCGAGCCAACAUCCAUGCCCAUCUUCCUCCACUUUACAUGCGGGACACCUACCACAGCAUGGCGUGCCAAGUGGUGCCAUGUCCGCACCCGGGGUCUGAACCAGCGAACCCCAGGCCGCCAGGGCGGAACGUGCGCGCUUAACCCCUGCGUCACCAGGCCGGCCCUGUGGAAAAAUUCUUGAGAAUGGAAUUUUGAAGUCAGGAAGACUGAAUGAAGUCCUUGUGUCUAUCCAUCAAGAAAGUAUAUCCAAAGAAAACGGAGGGUUUUAUGUAUAUGCGGAUGAAGAAAGCUCAAUUUGAAAAAGUUAGGAUACUUUGAAAAUGUGGAUUUGUCAUUCAUAAAAACGUUUUCUUGAAGCGUUCUUGAAGUUCCUUACCAGGUGCCAAAGGAAAGAAGCCUCGCAGGACUGGAGACAGUUUACCUGAAGCCACAUGCACUGGGAAUGCGGAGCACACUGGAAGUGGCUCUCUAGUCAAACGAGGUCCUUCCAUGAAGAGUAGUUGGCAUGUUUUGAAGCAGGUUAUGGAGGAAUUGGCAGCCUUGCCAUUCACUCAGCAAGUCACUCGAUGAAACUACAGACAUCUUUCAAUGUAUCCCCUUCCUUAUUUUGUUCAUGACAACCCUGCUAACAUGAACGAGGAAGAAUUCUUGUUCUGUGGGCGCCUUUGGAAAUGAUAAAGACUGCUGAUGUUUUGGAAAUGGUAUAAAGGUUUCUUUUUUUUGUUUUUUGUUUUUGUCAAACAAACCUGACUGGACGGAAAAGCUUCCUAUCCUUGCACAGGAGUUCUCGCAAUGCGUUCCUGCUUGGUUGCACAUCCAAUGUUGCUCCUUCAGGGAAAAAAGGAGCAGUUCAUAUUGUUUUCACUUGCCGUAGUUAAUGCAGAUGUGUUCUGGCUCUUCCAAAAGUCCUAAGAGAAGUUUUGUUGACAGCCAUAAAAGUCAUCACCUUUCUCAAAGCUGGUUUCUGAAUCAUAAUAGUUUCGCAAGUUCUGUCAGGGAACAAUAGCAGAAAACGAGGCGCUUCUUUACCACAGAGAAGCUCACUGACUUUCAAUGGUAAAGUUUCACUUUUUCUGGGGGGAAAAAAAAAGGAAAUCCAUUCUUGGAACACUUUGAAAGAAAGAAUUUUGUCUGCGGGUUGGUUGGCUUACCUGGCAGAUAUUUUUAACCAUGUGAAUGAGAUGACUCUUC
ensembl:lncRNA